CCUUUGUGGAGACUUGCUCUCACUAUGGAAGAAGAUAAAUGAAAUUGAAGAGAAAGGAACUUAUGUUGCUAUUAUGGGUGAGUUUUACUACCGUUAGUGACAUAUGUUGUUGUUGGUGAGGUGGCCACUAAGGAAUGUUGUUGGAGUCGCUCGAAGUGGGAGGGAAGGGAAGGAGGGUUAUCGAAGUGGGAAGGGAAGAAGUGUGAGGGAAGGGAAGUCUCUCAAUGGUUUAUCACGAGAAAUGGGAGAAAAGGAAAGAAGAGUUUUUUGAAGUAGGGAAAGAAGAAGUGUGAGGGAAUGGAAGUCUCUUAAUGGUCUAUCAUAAGAAAUGAGAGGAAAGGAAAGAAGAGUUUUUCGAAGUGGGAAGAGAAGAAGUGCGAGGCUCCAUAGUUUCUCUUUAUGGUAGUGAAGUGAAUAAAGAAAGGGAUACACAAAUUAUACAUAGCAAGAAAACAGGCUGACAGAUUGGUACGGGGUGACCUGUUUUUUGGCUUGGUAGGCUGGCGGGUCAGGCGGGUCAGGCGAGUCAGGUUGUAGUGGGCUUACAAGUUCAAAUUGAUACAAUCCAGGAAAGAGUACAAUUGCUUAUGAAUUUGAAUCCUCUAGAGACACAAAAAAAUAAUAAUUCAAAGAACU
rnacentral:lncRNA from 1 species